GCCUAGUUAGCUUAGUUGGUAGUGCGUCUGCCUUGUAAGCGCUAGGCCGCGGGUUCGAUUCCCGCCCUAAGAU
rnacentral:tRNA from 1 species